GUGAGGAAUAUUGGUCAAUGGGCGGGAGCCUGAACCAGCCAAGUCGCGUGAAGGAAGAAGGAUCUAUGGUUCGUAAACUUCUUUUGCAGGGGAAUAAAGUGCAGGACGUGUCCUGUUUUGUAUGUACCCUGAGAAUAAGGAUCGGCUAACUCCGUGCCAGCAGCCGCGGUAAUACGGAGGAUCCGAGCGUUAUCCGGAUUUAUUGGGUUUAAAGGGUGCGUAGGUGGUUUGAUAAGUCAGCGGUGAAAGUUUGCAGCUUAACUGUAAAAAUGCCGUUGAAACUGUCGGACUUGAGUGUAAAUGAGGUAGGCGGAAUGCGUGGUGUAGCGGUGAAAUGCAUAGAUAUCACGCAGAACUCCGAUUGUGAAGGCAGCUUACUAAGCUACAACUGACACUGAAGCACGAAAGCGUGGGGAUCAAACAGGAUUAGAAACCCGGGUAGUCC
rnacentral:rRNA from 1 species